CUUCCAGUAGCACCUAAGAGACCAACUAAGUUUGUUAUUGGUAUGAGCUUUCGUGUGCAUGCACACUUCUUCUGUUCAUGCACAUGAAAGCUCAUACCAAUAACAAACUUAGCUGGUCUCUAAGGUGCUACUGGAAG